rnacentral:misc_RNA from 1 species
GGAGUGAUAUCUUUCUCAGUCCUAUUCCAUAAGCCAAGAGUCAGAAAAGUUUCAAACAAUGAUACUAAGCAAGCAUUUCUGGGUAACAUUCCCAAAUCCCCAAUUCAUAGUAAGCUAAUCACUGAUAACAUAGGUUCAGGAUACAAAUUUGCAAUUAGACAAAUGUCAUUAAUCUAGCAAUCUGAAACACUACAACACAACGCUUAAACAUGCAUGGUUAAAAAGUGACAAAAAGAACUAUCAUAACUACAGAGUUCGGCAGAAGUUAAAAUGUGUCGUCUUGACCAAAUUGAUGGCAAGGAAUUUCCAGUAGUUAAAUGGAUUUGAUAAUUACCUGUCAUAAUCAGUUAUUGCAGUGUGGGAUUCU